AGAGUUUGAUCAUGGCUCAGAUUGAACGCUGGCGGUAUGCCUAACACAUGCAAGUCGAACGAGGUAGCAAUACCUAGUGGCGGACGGGUGAGGAAUACGUAGGGAUCUGCCCUUAAGUGGGGGUAACCCGGGGAAACCCGGAUUAAUACCGCAUGAUCUCGCAAGAGCAAAGAGGGGGACCGCAAGGCCUCUCGCUUUUGGAGGAACCUACGUCGGAUUAGCUAGUUGGUGAGGUAAUGGCUCACCAAGGCGACGAUCCGUAACUGGUCUGAGAGGAUGAUCAGUCACACCGGAACUGAGACACGGUCCGGACUCCUACGGGAGGCAGCAGUGGGGAAUAUUGGACAAUGGGCGAAAGCCUGAUCCAGCAAUACCGCGUGUGUGAAGAAGGCCUUCGGGUUGUAAAGCACUUUAAGUUGGGAAGAAAAAGCUUCACCUAAUACGUGAAGCCUUGACGGUACCGACAGAAUAAGCACCGGCUAACUCUGUGCCAGCAGCCGCGGUAAUACAGAGGGUGCUAGCGUUAAUCGGAUUUACUGGGCGUAAAGCGUGCGUAGGUGGUUUGAUAAGUCGAUUGUGAAAGCCCCGGGCUUAACCUGGGAAUUGCGGUCGAUACUGUCAGACUCGAAAACGGUAGAGGGAGGUGGAACUCCAGGUGUAGCGGUGAAAUGCGUAGAUAUCUGGAAGAACACCGAUGGCGAAGGCAGCCUCCUGGGCCUGUUUUGACACUGAGGCACGAAAGCGUGGGUAGCAAACAGGAUUAGAUACCCCGGUAGUCC
rnacentral:rRNA from 1 species